AACGAACGCUGGCGGCAUGCCUAACACAUGCAAGUCGAACGAUCCCUUCGGGGAUAGUGGCGCACGGGUGCGUAACGCGUGGGAACCUGCCCUUAGGUUCGGAAUAACUCAGAGAAAUUUGAGCUAAUACCGGAUAAUGUCUUCGGACCAAAGAUUUAUCGCCUUUGGAUGGGCCCGCGUUGGAUUAGCUAGUUGGUGGGGUAAAGGCCUACCAAGGCGACGAUCCAUAGCUGGUCUGAGAGGAUGAUCAGCCACACUGGGACUGAGACACGGCCCAGACUCCUACGGGAAGCAGCAGUGGGGAAUAUUGGACAAUGGGCGAAAGCCUGAUCCAGCAAUGCCGCGUGAGUGAUGAAGGCCUUAGGGUUGUAAAGCUGUUUUACCCGGGAUGAUAAUGACAGUACCGGGAGAAUAAGCCCCGGCUAACUCCGUG
rnacentral:rRNA from 1 species